CGUAGGGGUACCUGCGGAGGGAUCAUUACACAAUACAAUAUGAAGGCUGUCCGCAGCUGGAGUAUUUUAUUACCCUUGUCUUUUGCGCACUUGUUGUUUCCUGGGCGGGUUCGCUCGCCACCAGGACCACCAAAUAAACCUUUUUUAUGCAGUUGCAAUCAGCGUCAGUACAAACAAUGUAAAUCAUUUACAACUUUCAACAACGGAUCUCUUGGUUCUGGCAUCGAUGAAGAACGCAGCGAAAUGCGAUACGUAGUGUGAAUUGCAGAAUUCAGUGAAUCAUCGAAUCUUUGAACGCACAUUGCGCCCUUUGGUAUUCCAAAGGGCAUGCCUGUUCGAGCGUCAUUUGUACCCUCAAGCUUUGCUUGGUGUUGGGCGUUUUUGUCUUUGGUCGCCCAAAGACUCGCCUUAAAGUGAUUGGCAGCCGGCCUUUCUGGUUUCGCAGCGCAGCACAUUUUUGCGCUUGCCAUCAGCAAAACGGCAAUCCAUCAAGCCUCCUUCUCACGUUUGACCUCGGAUCAGGUAGGGAUACCCGCUGAACUUAAGCAUAUCAAUAGGCGG
rnacentral:rRNA from 1 species